AAGGAGAGAUAUGACAUUUUUUUGGAAAGAGCUAAAUCAGGUUGCAAACCACAAGUCACCACUAUUAUAAUUUAUUGAUGCACAAUUUGACAUGUUAAGAUAAAAAAAAUGAUUGAUACAGUUAUAUUACAGCGAACUAAAUACAACAUAAAGUUAUUACAGAAAAAUACAUCAUAAAGUAUAAACUAUAAAGUAUACAAGGGACACAAAUAAUGGACAAAUAAAUACAUAAUAUCCAAGAAAAUAAAAAUCCUUAUUCUUGUACAAACUACAAAUAAUAUUAUAUAUGUAUGUUGUAUGAAUGAAUGAGAAGUUAAAAGCAUAUAUCGAUGGCACAACAGCAACAUAGAGCAGCACAACAUCCCUUCCAGAAACCGUCACCUCUGGUUGUUGUUUGAUCUGGAAUCCUUUGUUGAGGGGCAUCCUGGGAAGGGUAACCCAUAGGUGGUGGGGCAGUUACAUAUUGAGAAGUAGAAUACGCCUCACCUGGUGGUGGAUAUGAUAUAGGUGCUGCUUGUUGCUGAUUGUUAAAGUUACUCAUGAUGUUGUUGAUGAUGAUGAAGUUGAUUAGAAUUAUAUAUAUCAAAGAGUAGUUGAAUGAUGAUUGAUGAGAGACGAAGAUGUUAUGUGAAUGAAAAGUAUAGAAGCAAAAAUGUGUAUAUAUAGGUCGUGGUUACUUAAUUUCAAAGGAAAAAGACAAAUGACGUGUUGGAUAAACGCGUUAGAGGGCGUGGGAAGGAAAAGUGCAAGACGGCGUUUACAUCAGUUUGAUACGCUGUGUGCUUUGCUUUGCGACACAUUGAUUGUGUCGAUUAUUUCUUUAUUAUGUCGUUUUCAAACAAAUAUUCAGUUUAACUACCACGCGUUUGCUUCCAAAAUAUUCAAGCCUUUCUGGAUUGAAUUGUGGGGUCGGUCAACUGGUCAUUAUUGUUUGUUUGGUCUCAAAAAUACUAGAACUACUCACAGUAGUCUCCAAUAAAGACUGCUUUCUGCAGCAAUCUAAACUAAAUCUAACAAAGAUGAAGAUCAUGUACCACACGGGAGAAAGAAAAAAGAUACUACAUCUUAAUGUCUUCCAACAGAGAAACUUCAUGGACAAAAAAGUAACUACAAGUUCUAACACUAGAAUGGAUUCUGUUGUGGCCAACAACGAAUAAAAUUAUAAGAAAAAUUGAAUUUCUUGAACAAAUACAAGAAAUCUUUUUUAGAUUUACGAAAGAGAGAGAAUAGAAAAGAAGAACAAGAAUUAGUUAAAAUCAUUUUAGUAUUUAUUUUUACAAUCAGGGCAAAUUAUUUACAAGUAAAUAACAACCAAUCUUAAUUUUCUCUGAACAACCUGAGAGAGCAACCUAUUUAUAAACUACAAGUUAACUUAAAUCCUAAGCUAACUUAACCAACAAACUAACUUAGAAAACUGCACGCUAGAACAAGCUUUGACCAUCGACUCUUGCAUGCUUGAACAUAUAUGGAUUACAACACACACAACUUCGACUUCUACAUGCUUGAACAGACUUUGACUGCAACAUGUACAACUUCUCUCAAAACAUGCAACUAUCCUUGCCGAGACUAUAAUUUUACCCAAAAUACCACAAAUCUCCGCCUUAGAAAAACUCUACAGCAUAAAGGAAACAAACUAGCUUUUAUCAUACAACUUUAUCAACUGCAUAUUGUGGAAGAACUUGCUACUUGGCAAUGACUUGGUGAUCAUAUAUGCAACAUUGUGAUAUGUCGUAACCUUCAUCACUUUGACUUCUCCACUUUCGAUUUUCUCCCUGACGAAAAACACCUAACAUCAAUGUGCUUUGUUUUCUCAUGAUAGGAUGAAUUCCUCGAUAGAUGUAUGACACUUUGACUAUCACAUUUAUCAAUGAUAACUCGACCUUGAAGUUUCAGUUCCUUAACAAAUUCUUUAAGGCAUAAUGCUUCUUUCACAGCUUCAGUGAGAGAAAUAUAUUCAACUUCAGUGGUUGAUAAGACAACAACCUUCUGAAGAGAAACUUCCCAACUGAUUGUUGUACCAAACAUUGUGAAAACAUAUCUAGAAUGAGAUUUUAUGGUAUCCAUACAUCUUGCAUAGUCAGAGUCGACAAAUCCUUCAACUUCGGCUUCACCAUCACUCAUGGAUCCACCAUAAACCAGGACCUACUCAAGGAUCCUUUUAUGUAUCUCAGAAUCGACUUUAGAGCUUGCCAGUGUGCCUUCCUAGGAUUGACCAUACACAUGCUUACAAGGCUCACUCUAUAUGCUAUGUUUGGCCUCGUACAUACCAUAACAUACAUCAAAGAACCUAAUACACUAGCAUACAAAACACUAUUUGUAACGCCCUAGUCUACUUUCAGGAUUAUCGACUGACCCCACAAACCAACAUGGGUCUUUUCAGCAUGCUUUGUUCUCACUCACACGCUUUUCGGAAAACUUCCCAGAAGGUCACCCAUCCGAAUACUACUCUAAGUCAAGCACGCUUAACUAUGGAGUUCUUAUUUGUAAGGAUACCGAAAAUAAGACGCAUCUUGUUGAUAUAUGUAGUACCAAUUAAUCCUUAUAAGCCUUCCUUCAAUCAUGCAGUCCCAUACCUGCACAACCUUUGGAUCCCUCUCAUUCUGAUGUGAAUUCGGGUUUUCCCUAAAAGCUGCUAGGAGUGUCUCAUUGUCAUGCCUCAUGCACCGACAACCACUCCCUCGCCAUCAGGUGUAACAUAUAACCACUCUUUGGCCUCUCUGGCGUUACAUGCCCACCAACUUCCGAUUGGUUCGUCCCCGAACUACAUCAUACUAGGAGAGGUCUGACUCUGAUACCAUUUGUAAUGCCCCAGUCUGCUUUCAGGAUUAUCGACUGACCCCACAAACCAACACGGGUCUUUUCAGCAUGCUUUGUCCUCACUCACACGCUUUUCGGGGAACUUCUCAGAAGGUCACCAAUCCAAAUACUACUUCAAGUCAAGCACACUUAACUAUGGAGUUCUUAUCUGUAAGGCUACCGAAAACAAGAUGCAUCUUAUUUUCGGUAUCCUAAUAAAUAAGAACUCCAUAGUUAAGCGUGUUUGACUUGGAGUAGUAUUUGGAUGGGUGACCUUCUGAAAAGUUUCUCGGAAAGCAUGUAAGUGAGGACAAAGCAUACUGAAAAGACCUGUGUUGGUUUAUGGGGUCAGACGGUUAUCCUGAAAGCAGUCUGGGGUGUUACACUAUUCAUAUAAACUCUUUGGACUUUAGUACUAGGACUUUAGGUUGUACACAACUUGAAUUUAGGAUUUGUGGGUGUUACAAUAGGUUCUGAAUUAGACAUAACAAAUUUGUUGAGAAUCUUCUUCACGUAUGUCUCUUGAGAUAAGCAUAAUCUCGACUAUUUUAUAUCUUUUUGGAUGUCAAUCCCAAGAAUCCUGGUGGCAGAUCCUAGAUCCUUUAUGUAUAACUCCUUAUCGAGUUCAUCCUUCACCUUCAUAACAUCCUCGACACUAUUGAUCGAUAUGAGGAUGUCAUCCACAUAAAGCAAUUGAGUAAAAAGUGAAUUUCCAGUUCGAAAUCUGAGGUAAACGUAGCGGUUGAACUGACUCCUAGUGAAACCUAUGUGUGUCAUGAACUUAUCGAAUCUCCUAUUCCAUUGUUGAGGAGAUUGUUUCAAGCCAUAUGAUGAAAUAUUCAACUUACACACAUAAUAUUCCUUUUCUCUUUCUGCAUACCCUUCAGGUAGCCUCAUCAUUAUUGUUUCAUCUAGAUCACCAUACAUGAAGGUUGUCUUUACAUCCACUUGCUCAAGUUCUAAGUUGAACUUUGCCAGCAUGGCUAACAACAUUCUAAUAGAUAUAUGCUUUAUAAUAGGUGAGAACUCAUCAUUAAAGUCGUCUCCUUCUUUAUGAGUGAACUCCCUAGCAACCAACCUUUUCUUAAAUCUCUUCGACAUCAAUAAUUCGAUUCCUUCCUUAACUUUGAAAAUCCACUUACAAUUGACUAACUUGGCUCCAACAUGUUUCUUGAUCAUCUCCCAAAUAUGGUUAUCAUGAAGAGAUUUCCUCUCAUCAUCCACGGCUUUCAGCCAUUCAUGCUUGUUCAGACUCCUCAUAGCUUCCUUGUAGUAUCUAGGUUCUUCAUCAAGAACCUCACUUGCAAAUAAUAAGGAAAAAACUAUGAGAUGGCUUGAUGACUCUUCUCGACAUGUCUCUUUCUAGCAGGUAGUCAUUAUCAGUCUCUUCAUUUUCAUCAGUAACUUGUGCUUCUUAUUCGACUUCAUUGAAAACUACAUCUCAAGUUGUGAUACACCUCCUAUGACGUGGCUAUAGGCACCAUAACCUAUAAGAUUUGAGUCCUUCAGGGUAUCUAAGAAACAUAAAUCUUAGAGCUUUAAGUUUGACCUUGUCUUGCCUAAUGUGAGCAUAUGAUAAACAACCAAAUACUCUACGUAUGUCGAGAUUAGGUGGAUGUUUCAACCAAACUUCUUCAGGUGUGUUCAUCCGCAAGUAAGUCGAGGGAUACCUAUUUAUCAGGUAUGCUACAGUCAAAACAACCUCAGCCCAAAACACCUUCUUCAAUCCAUCACUAACUAACAUGUAUCUAACUCUUUUUAGAAUUUUUCGAUUGAAUCUCUCAACCAUGCCUUUUUGCUGAGGAGUAACUGCAGUAGUCUUGUGCCUUGUAAUAUCAGACAUAUUACAGUAACUGUUGAAAGCUUCAUUGUAGAACUCAAGGCCAUUAUCGGCUCUCAACCUCUUGACCUUCCUGCCAGUCUGAUUUUCGACCAUAGUCUACCAACUUUUGAAAUUUUCAAAAAAGUUGUAUCCUUAGUCUUUCUGGGUGAAUACCCAUAACUUUAUGGGAUAAUAAUCAACUAUGGAUUGAAAAUACUUUGCACUUGAGUGUGAAGGAUUUCUUGCAGGCCCCUAAAGACCAAAAUGAGUGUAAUCAAGGGAUCCAUGUAUCCUUUGAUUUCCUUCAUUAAACUUUACUCUUCAUGAUUCACCAAACAUAAGGUUCACAAAAUUUCAAUUUUUCGACUUUGUCACCACCCAACACACUUUGUUUCCCCACUUUGACAAGACCCCUUUUAUUGAAUGACCCAAUCUCAUGUGCCACAGUUCUGUCUUCGACAUAGGUUUCGUGGAGGCAAAAUUUUCUGAUCUACUUACAACCUCAACCUUAAGAGUAUACAAGCCUUGUUUCUCCAUGCCUCUCAAGACUUUCUUCAACCCAUUCAUGACUCUCAGGAUGCCUUGCUCUCCCUUGAACACAUAUCCUUUCUCAUCGAAUUCACCAAGAGAAAUCAAAUUUCUCUUAAGGUCAGGUACAUAACCCACACCAGUCAAUAACUUUAUUGACUCAUCACGGAGCUUGAAUCUCACAGAUCCAAUACCUGCAACUUUGCAAGCUUUGUUGUUUCCCAGCAACACUGAUCCACUAUAUUGAUCACAUAAUUCCUCAAAUACAUCUUUGUUUGGAGUCAUAGUCCCAAGUACUAAGACAUUGCAAUUCAUAAAUACUUGGCUUUCGCUAUUUUUUUUUAAAUGAGUCUCUCUUUUGCAAUAAAUUGGAAGAAAAAGACUACUGAGUGUAAAGUCCAGUCAUAGUCCUGAACACUAUGCCCAAGUUGUAAGAGCUUGUAAGCCCUAAGUGUUUAUCUUUCCCUCAAAAUACUUGUAAAUAUUCAAACCCUUUCAUAACAAAAUUGGAAGAAAAAGACUACCUGGGUGAAAGGUCCAGUCAUAGUCCCGAGUAUUAUACCCAAGUUGCAACAACUUACAAGUCAUAGAUGCUCUAUUUCCAACCAAAGAAAUACACCCAACACAUCCAAACCAUUUUUCCUCUUGGCAUCCCUUCCAAAAUCCUUUUAAAUGUAGGAUGUUUUUGUUUCAAGACGAUGCAAAACAACGUCUCGUCUACAUAUGUGCGAGAGAGAUAAGUGACAUUUUCUCGUGAAUGUUGAUAUGUAGAAAUCCAUUCAAUGUGAUACAAAUGCCUGCUCCUCCACCGUUUUGGGUAAGAAAUGUUUUUCGUUCGAUUGCAACAAUAACAACUUUUGCUAAAAUCGAUCCACAAAUAAACAUUUUCUAUCCAAAACUACGUAGCCUUGAGUUCUCCGUCGUACCCGGAGAUACGUAGGAGCGAGAUUCAAAGUCUUGUCAUACACCCUAAUAAAAAAAUAAACCUUUUAGUCCUAUUCUUAUUUUCUUUUAAUAAUGUGAUAAGCCUAACAUUCAAAAGCUAACACUAAUGCACAUAACUAACUAAAUGGUUCUGUUGAGUACAAUAGACGUGAAGAGUGCUAAUAACUUCCCCUUGCGUAAUCGACUUCCGAACACGAUUUGGUUGCGACGACCAUAUCAUUUUCGUUCUUUUAGGGGUUUUAUUGAUACUUUCCCUUUCCAUUUUUUGGGAAGAAAUAAAUUUUGGUGGCGACUCUAUUAGUCUAUUCUGCGAGCGUGUGACGCGCCUCACGAGAUCAUAUACUUUUUUUCGAGGUACAACACAUGCAUCUAGCCAUAUCCAAGAUGGUCCAGUUUCUUCUUUCUAGUAUGGUUCCAACAUAAUUAGUAGUGACAAGGGCUUCAUUUGGUAAUUUGAUGGUUAUGGGAUUAAUUCUUUUGAUCCUAUGAAAAAAUUCUUUUGUGUGGCAAACAUGGUCAAUUGCACGAGUAUCAAGUAUGAAGUUUUCAGGUCUAGGGGACUAAGAAAUAAUGCAUAUGAUACCUGAGUCAUUUUCAAUUUGAGUUGUCAGAUGAUUGAUGUUGUUAGAAUGAGAAGAAGAAGUUCCUUGAAAAAGAGCCAACAAUGCUUUAUACUAGUCUGAUAUAAAAACCAAGUUACCUUGAACUUGCUCAUUUUCUCCAUUGAAGUCAGGUUGAGAU
rnacentral:lncRNA from 1 species